UAAGGAAUAUUGGUCAAUGGACGCAAGUCUGAACCAGCCAUGCCGCGUGGAGGAUGAAGGCCCUCUGGGUUGUAAACUUCUUUUCUUUGGGACGAAACCCCUAUUUCUAUGGGGACUGACGGUACCAGAGGAAUAAGCACCGGCUAACUCCGUGCCAGCAGCCGCGGUAAUACGGAGGGUGCAAGCGUUAUCCGGAUUCACUGGGUUUAAAGGGAGCGUAGGUGGACUUUUAAGUCAGUGGUGAAAUCUCUGGGCUUAACCCGGAAACUGCCAUUGAUACUAUUAGUCUUGAAUUCUCUGGAGGUAAGCGGAAUAUGUCAUGUAGCGGUGAAAUGCUUAGAUAUGACAUAGAACACCCAUUGCGAAGGCAGCUUACUACGGAGACAUUGACACUGAGGCUCGAAAGCGUGGGGAGUCAAACAGGAUUAGAUACCCUGGUAGUCCACGCCCUAAACGAUGAUUACUCGACAUUAGCGAUGUUACUGUUAGUGUCU
rnacentral:rRNA from 1 species